rnacentral:rRNA from 1 species
AGAGUUUGAUCCCUGGCUCAGGACGAACGCUGGCGGCGUGCCUAAUACAUGCAAGUAGAACGCUGAAGAGAGGAGCUUGCUCUUCUUGGAUGAGUUGCGAACGGGUGAGUAACGCGUAGGUAACCUGCCUUGUAGCGGGGGAUAACUAUUGGAAACGAUAGCUAAUACCGCAUAACAAUGGAUGACCCAUGUCAUUUAUUUGAAAGGGGCAAAUGCUCCACUACAAGAUGGACCUGCGUUGUAUUAGCUAGUAGGUGAGGUAACGGCUCACCUAGGCGACGAUACAUAGCCGACCUGAGAGGGUGAUCGGCCACACUGGGACUGAGACACGGCCCAGACUCCUACGGGAGGCAGCAGUAGGGAAUCUUCGGCAAUGGGGGCAACCCUGACCGAGCAACGCCGCGUGAGUGAAGAAGGUUUUCGGAUCGUAAAGCUCUGUUGUAAGUCAAGAACGAGUGUGAGAGUGGAAAGUUCACACUGUGACGGUAGCUUACCAGAAAGGGACGGCUAACUACGUGCCAGCAGCCGCGGUAAUACGUAGGUCCCGAGCGUUGUCCGGAUUUAUUGGGCGUAAAGCGAGCGCAGGCGGUUUGAUAAGUCUGAAGUUAAAGGCUGUGGCUCAACCAUAGUUCGCUUUGGAAACUGUCAAACUUGAGUGCAGAAGGGGAGAGUGGAAUUCCAUGUGUAGCGGUGAAAUGCGUAGAUAUAUGGAGGAACACCGGUGGCGAAAGCGGCUCUCUGGUCUGUAACUGACGCUGAGGCUCGAAAGCGUGGGGAGCGAACAGGAUUAGAUACCCUGGUAGUCCACGCCGUAAACGAUGAGUGAUAGGUGUUGGAUCCUUUCCGGGAUUUCAGUGCCGCAGGUAACGCAUUAAGCAUUCCCCCUGGGGAGUACGACCGCAAGGUUGAAACUCAAAGGAAUUGACGGGGGCCCGCACAAGCGGUGGAGCAUGUGGUUUAAUUCGAAGCAACGCGAAGAACCUUACCAGGUCUUUGACAUCCCGAUGCUAUUUCUAGAGAUAGAAAGUUACUUCGGUACAUCGGUGACAGGUGGUGCAUGGUUGUCGUCAGCUCGUGUCGUGAGAUGUCGGGUUAAGUCCCGCAACGAGCGCAACCCCUAUUGUUAGUUGCCAUCAUUCAGUUGGGCACUCUAGCGAGACUGCCGGUAAUAAACCGGAGGAAGGUGGGGAUGACGUCAAAUCAUCAUGCCCCUUAUGACCUGGGCUACACACGUGCUACAAUGGUUGGUACAACGAGUUGCGAGUCGGUGACGGCAAGCUAAUCUCUUAAAGCCAAUCUCAGUUCGGAUUGUAGGCUGCAACUCGCCUACAUGAAGUCGGAAUCGCUAGUAAUCGCGGAUCAGCACGCCGCGGUGAAUACGUUCCCGGGCCUUGUACUCACCGCCCGUCA